rnacentral:rRNA from 1 species
GACGAACGCUGGCGGCGUGCCUAAUACAUGCAAGUAGAACGCUGAAGAGAGGAGCUUGCUCUUCUUGGAUGAGUUGCGAACGGGUGAGUAACGCGUAGGUAACCUGCCUUGUAGCGGGGGAUAACUAUUGGAAACGAUAGCUAAUACCGCAUAACAAUGGAUGACACAUGUCAUUUAUUUGAAAGGGGCAAUUGUUCCACUACAAGAUGGACCUGCGUUGUAUUAGCUAGUAGGUGAGGUAAUGGCUCACCUAGGCGACGAUACAUAGCCGACCUGAGAGGGUGAUCGGCCACACUGGGACUGAGACACGGCCCAGACUCCUACGGGAGGCAGCAGUAGGGAAUCUUCGGCAAUGGGGGCAACCCUGACCGAGCAACGCCGCGUGAGUGAAGAAGGUUUUCGGAUCGUAAAGCUCUGUUGUAAGUCAAGAACGGGUGUGAGAGUGGAAAGUUCACACUGUGACGGUAGCUUACCAGAAAGGGACGGCUAACUACGU